UACAGAGGUCCCAAGCGUUGUUCGGAUUUAUUGGGCGUAAAGGGUGCGUAGGCGGCGGAGUAAGUUGGGUGGGAAAUCCCGGGGCUCAACCUCGGAAUUGCAUUCAAUACUGCUUCGCUCGAGUACUGGAGAGGAGGCUGGAAUUUACGGUGUAGCAGUGAAAUGCGUAGAUAUCGUAAGGAAGGCCGGUGGCGAAAGCGAGCCUCUGGACAGUUACUGACGCUGAUGCACGAAGGCCAGGGGAGCAAACGGG
rnacentral:rRNA from 1 species